ACGAACGCUGGCGGCGUGCUUAACACAUGCAAGUCGAACGGAAAGGCCCUGCUUUUGUGGGGUGCUCGAGUGGCGAACGGGUGAGUAACACGUGAGUAACCUGCCCUUGACUUUGGGAUAACUUCAGGAAACUGGGGCUAAUACCGGAUAGGAGCUCCUGCUGCAUGGUGGGGGUUGGAAAGUUUCGGCGGUUGGGGAUGGACUCGCGGCUUAUCAGCUUGUUGGUGGGGUAGUGGCUUACCAAGGCUUUGACGGGUAGCAGGCCUGAGAGGGUGACCGGCCACAUUGGGACUGAGAUACGGCCCAGACUCCUACGGGAGGCAGCAGUGGGGAAUAUUGCACAAUGGGCGGAAGCCUGAUGCAGCAACGCCGCGUGCGGGAUGACGGCCUUCGGGUUGUAAACCGCUUUCGCCUGUGACGAAGCGUGAGUGACGGUAAUGGGUAAAGAAGCACCGGCUAACUACGUG
rnacentral:rRNA from 1 species